GAGGGACUGGGAGCAAGAUUGCACCUGUGGGACUCCAGCUCCAGCAGGAGAGCAGGGCCAGGGCUGCACCUUGCUGCUCUCGCCUCCCUUCCAGCUUCCCGGUGCUCCAGCAGCAUGGGGACCAGGGGAUGGACGCUUCCAGCCUUCGUGGGAUGCUGCCUAUGGAUUCUGCAUGGGCUCGGGGCCGCCGUCGCCGUCCCUGUGACCACGGAGGGGCCGUUUGGUGCCCACACAGCUUCUCCCACCGCGGCGCCGAGCGAGGCACGGGGCGCCCUGCCGCUGGGCGCCGCGGGGACGAGCACCGCCGUGGCUGAUACUGAGACAACCGAGAGCAUCCUCGCGGGACGCCCGGCCAGCCCGUCCUUCCCCUCCGGGGCCGAGGCAGAUUUGGUGACCACGACCAGCGCUCCAACCAGUGCUCUGGCUGCGGGGAGCGAUGCUGAGGCUGGGCUCAGCCCCAGCGCAGCAACACAGGCUCCCAGCGGAGAGCCCCAGGCGGUGACGGACGUGGCCACGUCUCUUAAUGCGUCCCAGGGAAACCAGACGGUUUCGGCUGCCGCCUUGGUUUUCACCCCCCAGCCUGCUUUCACCCCCAGCGCAGAGCUUGAUGUAACGGCGGCCGCUCCUGCUGCACCCCCCGGGGCCACCCCUCUGUUUGCAGACAUGAGCAAGGACAUCCUCGCGUCCGUGACAAGGGAAGGAGCGGACUUGGAGCCCACGGCUGAUGCCACAUCCCUCCCUGCCACCCUGCCUCCAGCAGCCACGGGGGCAGAGCCGACAACCGGCAGCCCCCUGGGUCCCCAUGUCACCGCACUGCUGAGCCAAGGGCAGGCCACGGCCACAGGAGCUGCGGAGGAAGGUGUCACCCUGCCUGGGGACAGCCAAGGAGAAGGCAGUGCCCCCUCCUCGAUCCCCAGCCCCGGGGCUGGGGGGCUGCUCACGACACGGUGGGACGAGGUGCCGAGUGGGACCGUGGGUGUCACCCCGGGACCAGCAGCUCUGGGGUCUGGCGAUGCGGGAGAUGCAGUAAAUGGUGCUGUUGGCACAACUGAUUCAUCCCAUCUGGCUCCAGAGAAUGGGACAGUGUCGGGAGCAGCGGAAAACCCAGGGCAGACCUCCCUCCUCGCUGGACAGGCAGGGCUGAGCCUGGCCACCUCACCAGGACCGGCCGGAGGCAGGGAUGGAGAUGUGCAGGGAGCCCCAGCGGUGUCACCGGCCAGCCCCGGCUCAGCCCCAGCUCCUGCAGCCCCCGAGGCACCUGGGGAGCGAGGGGACACGGCCACCUCGCUGCUGGCCUCCAGGGCCCCCACGGAUGCACAGAGUGACACGGAUGCCCCAGCCCCAUCCAUCACGCUGCCCCUGCCCACGGGGGCUGUGGGUCCGGCCGAGCCUUCCCUGCAGCCUGCCCCAUGGCACAGCCCCACCGGAGAACGGCAACCGCAGCUUGCCGCCGCUCUGCCGUCCCCCACGGACACCCCCAGUGCUCCCGGGGCUGCUUUCCCACCCCCAGGGGCUGCAGCUGGUGAUGGGGCAGAGACAACAGCGAACCCCGACCUCGGUGCUGCCCCAGGAGUGCCUGCCUUGCUGUCCCCUGGGAGGUCACAGCCAUGGGGUACAGCAGCCGCUGCUCCUGAGGGAGCGGAUGGAGCUGGCACCGUCCCGAAUUCAGCUCUGGAUGCUGCCAGCCUGGCUUCUUCUGGACCUAAUGGCCUGGCAGGGCCUGCUCAGGGGGACACAGCGGACACGGCACAGGCAGGGGACACAGGGGACAGCAGUCCUUACGCAGGCACCCAGGGUGACACCAGCUCUUCGUCCAGCAGCGCUCAGCAGGGUCCCGCUGACACCGCAGAGCUGCCGGCAGCCCCAGCAGGAGCCCUGCCCAGCACCGAGCUGUCCCCUGCUGCAGCUCCUGGGGACGGAGCAGGAACAGCCCCGGCACCAGAAGAAGUGUCCCCGCCUGGUCCCAUGGCUCCCGGCCAUGUGGGGCUGGAGCCCGACCUCUCAGGGGCUGAAGGACCAGGACCCCUGCCCAGUCAAGCCCCCGGUGCUCCCAGCGCUGCUUUCCCACCUCCUGUUGCUGCGUCUGGAGCUGCGUUUGGGACAAGCAAUGGGGCAGAGAUGGCAGCAAACCCCGACCUCGGUGCUGCCCAGGGAGCCCCCAUAUCCCCAUUCCUUGUGGGGUCACAGCCGUGGGGGAUGGCAGCUGGUGCUCCCACAGGAGCAGCUCUCCCUGGGGCUGAGGGACCAGGCACAGGCUUCAGUUCGACACUGGAUGCCCCCGGCUCAGCAUCACAUGGAUCUGUGGGACCCCCAUUGCCCACCCUCGGGGUCCAGCCCGGUGCAGACCUGGGGGUGCUGGGAGCAGAGGGGCAGGCGCUGGGAGGCAGCAGGACUGGGUCUGAGCCAUCCCUGAGCUCCUCUCCUGGUGCUGGGAUGGAGGCUGGGACACUUCUAUUGCCUGGUGCCGUGUCCCUGCCCGGUCCUGCCUCUCCCAGUGACGCACUUCCAAUAUCUUCCACUUCGGAGAACGGUGCAGCAGCAGCCCCCAUGCCAGCAGCAGCCCCUGGCCCUGACCGCCUGUCCCAGGGCUCUCCGGACAGCGAAACCGGCCCAGAGCUCGCCACGGCGCAGGGGACCAAGAGCACAGGCGAUAUGGCAGAGGCAGCAAACCCAGGGAGCAGAAGUCCCUACACGGACACCAGCUCUUUGCCCAGCAGUGCUCAGCAGGGUCCCGCUGACACCACAGAGCUGCCGGCAGCCCCGGCAGGAGCCCUGCCCAGCACCGAGCUGUCCCCUGCUGCAGCUCCUGGGGAUGGAGCAGGAGCAGCCCUGGCACCGGCAGAAGUGUCCCCGCCUGGUCCCAUGGCUCCUGGCUACGUGGGGCUGGAGCCCGACCUCUCGGGGGCUGAAGGACUGGGACCAAGCCAAGCCCCUGGUGUUGCUUUCCCACCUCCACCUGCUGCGUCUGGAGCUGCGUUUGGGACCAGCGAUGGGGCAGAGAUGGCAGCAAACCCCAACCUCGGUGCUGCCCAGGGAGCCCCCAUAUCCCCAUUCCUUGUGGGGUCACAGCCGUGGGGGAUGGCAGCUGGUGCUCCCACAGGAGCAGCUCUCCCUGGGGCUGAGGGACCAGGCACAGGCUUCAGUUCAGCACUGGAUGCCCCCGGCUCAGCAUCGCAUGGACCCGUGGGACCCCCAUCACCCACCCUCGGGGUCCAGCCUGGCGCAGACCUGGGGGUGCCAGGAACAGAGGGGCAGGUGCUGGGAGGCAGUGGGACUUGGUCUGAGCCAUCCCUGAGCUCCUCUCCUGGCGCUGGGAUGGAGGCUGGGACGGAUCUACUGCCUGGUGCCGUGUCCCUGCCCGGUCCUGCCUCUCCCGGGGACAUGCUCACAGCACCCUCUGUUUUGGAUUCAGCCAGCCCAGGUGCCCUGGGAGGAGUGGACGCUGCUCCCAGUGCUGUGCAGCCUGCCCUGGGUGCUGGUCCUGGCGCCCAUCCUCCUGCAGGAGGAGGCGGGGGUGAAGGGGCUGGGGCUGGAAAUGGGGAGUCCCCGGGGGUGUCCCAGGACCUGGACGGAGCAGCUGGAGCCUCUGGUGGAGGAACGGGAGCCGUGCUGCACUCUGCAUCUCCCUCCCCAUCUCCCGAGGGAUCUUCUUCAGCCCCGACAAGCGGUGGAGCUGCUGAGGGAGCAGGAGGUCCUGGAGCUGGUGGAGCUGGUGUAGGACUGAGCCCAGACCCGGAGGCUGCUGGCCCCCAAGGCAACGAGGAGACCCCUGUGCCUGCCCCCGGCAUCCAGAGCGGCGCCGACCUCGGGCUCUCUGAUGCAAACCUGAGCCAAACCAAUGUGGUGCAGCUGGCCGGAGGAGAAACGGGAGCCUCGGCCCCUUGGGCACCUGCCCCUGGUGCCGGCACAGCAGACGGGGCAGGGGCCAUCAUCCAGAUCACAUCAGGGGUGCUGGCCCCCUCCGUCCUGUCCUCUCCCCGGGAGGUGCAGCCCCUGGUCCCGGUGGCCCCGGAUGCCUCCAGCCCCUUGCUGGCUGCCUCUGCUGGGGGCGUGGGGGGGAGCUCAGCACCAGCACCCAACGGGGGCCCCCCCUCUGCCUCCAGCACCCCAAGUGGGAGCAGCCCCUUGGCACUGGCCUCCCCACUGGCUGCAGUGGUGGCAGGUGCUGGGAGCGCUCUGCCAGGGUCUCCCGAAUAUGAAAUGUCCUCAGGGAUGGCAGCACCUUUGGGAGAAGAGUCCCCACGUGCCCCCGCGCCCGCCAACGCUGCCCCUGCUCUGCCUCCAGCCUCAGAGAGAGAGGAUGCAGCAGCGGGGGCGGCCGCGGGCCCCCCGCCGGUUUCCUCUCCGGUUUCUGGAAGUGAGUUUGGCGCGGGGACACGGGGAGAGCUGGGGGCUGCCGUAGGGGGGGCUGCCCCCUUCCUUCUUCCUCUCCAGCCUGGGGGCCCCGCGGUCCCCCCCAGACCCUCGGUGGCUGAAGGCAGAGGGGACACCGAUGGCCCUGUGCCUGGGGAACCACGUCCCGGUGUCUCUGUAGGACCAGGAGGAGCUGGGGGAGCCUUGGAGACCCCCACUGAGCCCCUGGCGGGGGGCAGCCCGGGGUCUCUCUCUGUCCUUCCUCCUGCUGGCCCCGCUGCUGGCAGCCCCCUGCCCAACAUCCCGGGGCCGGGACCUGCCGGGGGUUCAUCGCCCCCAGCCCUGCGCCCCUCCUUGGGCAGCGCCACCCCUGCAAAUGGGCUCCCUGCCGCCGGCGGGGCGAGCAUCCCCGCACCCAUCCCAGGCCACAGGGGAGCCCAGGGGGGGUCUCCCCCCACCACCCUGCAUCCAGCUGUGUCCUGCAGCCCAACCCUGCCAGCUCCCAGCCCUGGGGGCAAGAAGGGGCUGCCAGGGCCAGGGAAAAAUGAGGCAGCCUCUCUCUCCACCCGUGCAUCAUCCUCCAUGCUUCCAGCUCCACCACGAUCAGCAGCGGCUGCCCCGGUCCCUCCGCCCGGCCCCACAGGUAGGUGAUGCACCGGGCAGGGAAGGGAGAGGGGUGGGAGAGGGAUCCUGCAAGGGAAGGUGACGCGCAGGGUGUCCCGGUGUCCCCCGUUCUCCUGCUGCCCGGCCUGUGUCUCUGAAUGCAAAAUGGUUUCAGCCAUUUGUGUUGGCACAGACCAAAGGUUUUGCUAUAACCGAGUUUUUUUUUUAAAUUAUUUUUUCUAUGUUUUUGUUUGUUUGUUUGUUUUUCUGUUCUAGUCGCAGCCGUGUCCCUCUAUGGAUAUGGACCAAGGGAAAACGACCGCGAGUACGUGGAAAGGAGAGUGGACUUCAACUCUCCGCUUUUCAAGCCCGAGACUGGGUUCCCGUUCGGGAAAACCCUCCGCGACUCUCUCUAC
rnacentral:lncRNA from 1 species